UAAUAUAGCCACGGCCAUAAGCUCCUUAGAGCUGAUUCUGGAUGCUGGCAGCCACAGAGGAUGGCAUUGCAUUGCUCCCUGCAGUACUGCACAGGCCUGCUGGGACUACAGAGAUGCUCAGAAAGAGGAGUCCUGACAGAAUACCCACAUGGACCUCUUGUGCUGAGUGACCAAUGGGAGCCUGCAGCGACUUCUUAGGGAUGUUCAUCUAUGUGGUUGUUCUUUCACUGUCUUUGAGGAAAGGAAAUGGGCAGUUUUUGAGGGUCCUUGGAGAUAAGAUCUCGGGUAAGAUAGUACCCUUUUUCUUCUUACUCCACUCUAACUCACAUAACCAGGAAGAGCUCUGAUCCCUCUCAAAAGCGAUAAAGGCCAAUCAACACCUUCACUUCCCCCCAGCACAGAGAGGGUGUGAUCUAAGGCUUCAGAGUUAGGAGACUGCAGGACUCUGAAGCACUCCACCCCAAAUCUACAGACAAAGAAAAGACACUGCCUCUUCCUUGCAGAAAUCAAGACAACCCUUCAUUGUUCUGCACACACAGGCCUCCUCCUCCAGGUAGUUCUUGACUGCCUCUAUGCUUCUUAGCACCAUUUUCCACCAUGGUGGGAGAGGGACAUAAGGAGUAUGUAUGCUCCUUUGAGUCCCUGUUACUAUUUCCCUUUAUUCAUGCACUAUUCUUACCUGGGAAAUUAAUCCCACACAUACAGCAAGGUUUAUUUGGUUAGCCAUGGCCAUUGGCUUCCUGCCUUGAGACUGCCCUGAGAGUCAGGAAGAAGGGAAGCUGGACUCCGAGUCCACCUUUUCUCUUACUUAGCCUGGAAGUAAUCAUUCAGCCAUUUCAUACAGCAUCCUGAGAUGGUGAGGAUCUACUCUACUCUUCACUGCAUGCUCCAAAUUAGAUCCUAUCACUUUGGUAAGGAGGUGCUGCUGGCUCAGAGCACACCUCCUCCCUGCCCUGAACUGCCCCCAACAUGACUCACUCCAGCUCACUCCAACCUGUGUUUUACACCAGUGGCUGGAAUGUCAAACCCAGCGUGCACAAGGCAAACAAACAAAUAAACAAACAACAACAACAACAA